AGUGAACGCUGGCGGUAGACCUAACACAUGCAAGUCGAACGGCAGCACAGUAAGAGCUUGCUCUUACGGGUGGCGAGUGGCGGACGGGUGAGGAAUACAUCGGAAUCUACUUUUUCGUGGGGGAUAACGUAGGGAAACUUACGCUAAUACCGCAUACGACCUACGGGUGAAAGCAGGGGAUCUUCGGACCUUGCGCGAUUGAAUGAGCCGAUGCCGGAUUAGCUAGUUGGCGGGGUAAAGGCCCACCAAGGCGACGAUCCGUAGCUGGUCUGAGAGGAUGAUCAGCCACACUGGAACUGAGACACGGUCCAGACUCCUACGGGAGGCAGCAGUGGGGAAUAUUGGGCAAUGGGCGCAAGCCUGAUCCAGCCAUACCGCGUGAGUGAAGAAGGCCUUCGGGUUGUAAAGCCCUUUUGUUGGGAAAGAAAAGCAGCAGGUUAAUACCCCGCUGUUCUGACGGUACCCAAAGAAUAAGCACCGGCUAACUUCGUG
rnacentral:rRNA from 1 species